rnacentral:rRNA from 1 species
AAAGGGGGUCUAAUACCGCAUAACAUCGGAAGAUCGCAUGGUCUACCGAUCAAAGCAGCAAUGCACCGGAUGAUAGUCCCGCGCCUGAUUAGCUUGUUGGUAGGGUAAAAGCCUACCAAGGCAACGAUCAGUAGCCGGCCUGAGAGGGUGAUCGGCCACACUGGGACUGAGAUACGGCCCAGACUGCGUACGGGAGGCAGCAGUAGGGAAUAUUGCGCAAUGGCCUAACGGCUGACGCAGCAACGCCGCGUGGAUGAUGAAGCUUUUCGGAGUGUAAAAUCCUUUCAGCAGGGAAGAAUAUCUUGACGGUACCUGCAGAAGAAGUCCCGGCCAACUCCGUGCCAGCAGCCGCGGUAACACGGGGGGGACAAGCGUUGUUCGGAUUCACUGGGCGUAAAGCGCUCGUAGGUGGGCUGGAUAGUCGGAUGUGAAAACCUGAGGCUUAACUUCAGGCCUGCAUCCGAAACUGCCAGUCUUGAGUACUGGAGAGGGUGGCGGAAUUCCUGGUGUAGCGGUGAAAUGCGUAGAUAUCAGGAGGAACACCGAUGGCGAAGGCAGCCACCUGGACAGAUACUGACACUGAGGGGCGAAGGCUAGGGUAGCAAACAGGAUUAGAUACCCUGGUAGUCCUAGCGGUUAACGAUGGGCACUAAGUGUUGGCGGUAUCGACCCCGCCAGUGCCGCAGCAAACGCAUUAAGUGCCCCGCCUGGGGAAGUACGGCCGCAAGAUUGAAACUCACAGGAAUUGACGGGGGCACGAACAAACGGUGGAAUAUGUGGUUCAAUUCGAAGGCACCGCGCAAAAAACUUAGCUGGGCCUGAACAUAUGCUGGAAAAGCCCAAGAGAUGUGGUCCCUCCUUCGGGAAGUCAGUAUACAGGUGCUGCAUGACUGUCGUCAGCUCGUGUCGUGAGAUGUUGGGUUAAGUCCCGACAACGAGCGCAACCCUUGUCAUUAGUUGCCAUCAGGUUAUGCUGGGCGACUCCUAAGGAGACUACCGGUGACAAGCCCCCCCCAAGGUCGGGGAUGACGUCAAGUCCUCAUGGACCUUACGCCCAGGGCUACACACGUACUACAAUGGCCGGUAUAGACGGCAGCAAUACCGCAAGGUGGAGCUAAUCCCUAAACCUGGCCUCAGUUCAGAUUGGAGUCUGCAACUCGACUCCAUGAAGGUGAAUCGCUAGUA